CUGUAAACCUGCAUGACAAAUUCCAGCCCAGAGCAACAUUUUAUGAUCCAGUGUCAAGUUCUUGAAAAAUGAAAAAUGAGAGGAAAGAGAGAUUUAACUGUAAUGUGGAUACAUUUUGGACUGGAUGUUAACCAAUUGAAUAAGAGCUUUAUGAGCCAGGAGCACUCAGAUCAAUUUGGAGCAAUUCGUGUCAGCAGUCCGGAAUUGGACAAUAACUCUCUUGGGCCACUUCCCUGACGUCUGGAAUCCAUGAAGGGCAAAAACAGGAUGUUUGGCCCCUGGCAACAAAAUCUGUGGGACUACAACUAGAAAAAUCUUAAGAACAGGUUGCCUGACUCACCUUGAAUAAAGAAAGCUGUUAGGAGCUUCUGACAGACUGAGGGCUGAAGAGAAGAAGAUCUUUAGAGAGUUUCUUGGACUAGUGGGAUGAGAUCAGGUAGCCAAAGAUCAGGGCAUCUGUACUCCCCAGCACAUCACUAUGGAUGCCCUGGUUGGGAUUAAAAGCUUCCUAAAGACUAUGAGCAAGUGAAGGAUACUCAUCUAACCCAAGAACUGCAGAGAACAGUAUUUCUUCGGGAAAGCCUUCUGUCUGACUGUACUUAAUAAAUGCUUGCUGGAUGAAGGAUGGAUGGAAGAAAGCAAGGCAAAAGGGAAGGAAACACUUGGGAAAACAGUUCGUCAGUCUGACCUGCAUAGUUCCAGACAUUGCUGGAAGCAGACAAGAUGUUACCCACAUUGGUUCUGGGACCCAUGACCCAUUUACCCCAAGGAGAAAUUAUCCAUGUGGCAGGUUGGCUUAGCACCUAGACCACCAAACAAACAUUCCACCAUUCUGCUUGAGGAGCAAGCUUUUACAAUAACUGUCCUCAGCACCAUUCUGAAAUGUCUUUGUCUUACUGUGCAAAGCUGGCCUAAGGAUUUUAAUACUGAAGUUCACAGUUAAGUGGUAAGACCCCAAAGAAACUGUUCUACCUAAGUAUAAACAUGUGUUUUGCUUCAAAGUUCAAAAAUAUUUCCAAUUAACACAAAUUCCCUGAACUGUUAGCUUCCUGCUACAGCUCUGUAAGUCAGCUUCUUCUGAGCCAUUUGAAAUGUAAAUGGACUGAUUUUUCUGAUUGUGGUUUACCAAUUAUGUCAGCACUAUCAUUUCUUGUCCACUGACCAGAGAAAUUGUAGCUAUGGAUGAGAAUUGUAUCUGGUAUUCUAUAUGGCUUCUCUUGUCGACUCACUUUUAAGGUCCAGCAUUUGGCAGGGAAUGUUCUUUCCUAUAUCACAGAUUGUUGUAUUCAUCCACUAUUGUGCUAAGCACACAUUUUGCCCAGAUUAUUUCAUUUAAUCCUCACAGAGAUCCUCAAAAGUGCAAAGAGAUUAAAAUGACUUGGACAGGGUCAUUACAAACUAAAGAACCAGAACUUGAACCAAGGUCAUCUGAUACCAGAGCUCUUGCUUUUAAUCACUUCCUUUAGACUGUUUCUCUAAGAAUUGUCUUUCCAUAAUUAAAAUUAGAUCAUAAAUUUUUAAAAAAUCUGUUAGAAUUCACAGUGAAUUCUAAGAACAUAAAAACUAACUUGAUCAAAAUGGAAGCUUUUUAUUAGUGUCCCACAGAUAGAGGUAGACAUGAGAGGCAUAUACAUUUACUUCUAAUUUACAAGUUGGUAUGCAGGAGCAGAAAAUUUGGUGAUGAAAGACUCUUUCUGCCUUUGUAGACAUUUAGCCCAUUCUUCCAUCACCUAAUUGUUCAGACGAAUAAUUUAGCUUUAGCUUUCCCACCGUAGUCAAAAGGUUCUGCACAGCUAUUUGAGUAUAUGUGAUGAGGACUAUUUUGAAUAAAGGGUGAAUGUGACUUUCAUUUUUCCCUGUGAUAUAUAAACAUGAGUCAGUAAAGGUUCCUCUUGAAAUUUCUCUAAGGAAUGGCACGCAUUUCCAAUUAAUCUCAUAACUUGUCUUUAACUAUUUGGCCAUGUUCCAUAAUUGAUAGAUGUUAUUUUAAUUCAGAUACAAAAAAAAAGGGAGGGAAAGAGAGAAUGGUCAGGCCAGAGAAUGGGAUAUACAUCAGCUUUUGGACACAUUCUAUUCAUGCAGUCAAUCAGUGUUUUUGAGACCCCAACACACUUUGGCUGAUCUCUGUGAGUGAUCCUAUUGUCAGUUCUUAACAAAAUUGCAAAAAUGACUUGCCCUAAAAGAUCCAUCAAAUUGGUGGCAAAGCUUGCUCAGGGUCUAAGACAUCCAGGCUACCACUCACCUUUCAAGGGUGGGCAUCAGUGGAAAAUCACUUAAGCCUCUAGAAAAGAUGGUUUUUAAGGAGAAAUUUGACUGAUGGAACCUGGUGGACCAGGAGAGAAGAGACACUUGAAGUCUGGGUGAAGGUGUGCAAUGAAUGUAAAAAAAACAGAUCACAGCAGAAAGUAAAGAAAUGUUGAGAGAAUAAAAAGAAGAACACAUUUGCCUUCACUAUCGCUUACAUGCUGGCACCCAAAUCCCUUCACACAGCACUCAAGGUCCUCCACAAGUUGACGCCAACCCUCUCUGUAAGACUCCUCCACCAGCAUUCUCCCUGUGUGUGGGUUUUUUUUUUUUUUAAGAUUUUAUUUAUUUAUUUUACAGAGAGAGACACAGCGAGAGAGGGAACACAAGCAGGGGGAGUGGGAGAGGGAGAAGCAGGCUUCCCAGGGAGCAAGGAACCUGACACGGGGCUCGAUCCCAGGACUCUGGGAUCAUGACCUGAGCCGAAGGCAGAUGCCCAAUGACUGAGCCACCCAGGUACCUCUCCCUGUGUUUUCUGUCCCGCCAUCACAUUGUGGGCUUUUUCCUAGACACAGCACACUUACCCACGUGAGUGCCCUUGAUUAUGUUUCCUCCUCUGCCCCCACUGCAUCUGCCUGGCAAAGUCUUACUCAGGUGUUGAGCCUCUAAAUACCACUCUCUUUUCAUGAAACCUUGGUAAACUCCUCUCCCCCACCUCCACUCACCACCCCCAACAAGCAGAAAUAACUGCCUUCUCCCUGAGUCUCUCGAGUUCUUUCAGUAUCUUCCGUGUCAUGUUGACAUUUGCUACAGGUCAAAAAGCCUAUCUCGUUCAUCUCCAUAUACCCAAGGGCAUAGUCAGCAUUUAAUACAUUUUUAUUGAUAUGUGUUGCUUCUGUAUGUCCAGGCUGGUUUCCACUCCCUGGCUCCGCCCUGAUACCCCUCCUAAUAAUAAUGAUGAUAACUAGCAUUUGUAAAAUACUCCACAAAUUGCCAAGCACCUUCGAAUCUUAGUUUUCUAGGAUUGCCAUAACAAAAUAUCCUAGACUGGGUGUCUCAGCAGAAAUUUGUUUUCUUACAGCUCUGGAGGCUAGAAGUCCAAGAUCAAGGUGUUAGCAGGUUGGUUUCCUCUGAGGCCUCUCUCCUUGGCCUGCAGAUGGUCAUCUCUUUCUAUAAAUGCACCAGUCAUAUUGGAUUAAGGCCUGCCCAUAUGACUUCAUUUUACCUUCAUUAACUCUUUAAAGGCCCUAUUUCCAAAUGCAGGUGUAUUCUAAGGUAUUGAAGGUUAAGACUUCGACAUAUGCAAGGGGCAGGAGUGGGGGACACAAUUCCCAGCCCACACCAAUAUCCAUGAUCUCAUUUAUCCCCUCAAGUUGUAGCUAAGCCACUCUGUACCUCUGCACUGUUUUGUGAGCUUUGAAAGACAGCUCUUCUAUGCCUGGCCUUACUCCUUCAAGGCUUCCCCAGUCUAGACCUCAAGUCUAUUUAUUUUGGAAACGGGCUUUGUUCCUUAAUGAGUGAAUAAAAGCAAUACUUCAAAAUUCUAGCAUUUCUUACUGAGUUUAAACUGUCAAAAGCCAAGCCCUAAUGUCAGUAUAAGAAGAAAAUAGAAACACUGCCUCUUUUCUAGCACUGAGAACCCAGGAAAACAAUGUAAUACUUUGGGGGGAGUUUUGUAGUUAGUAAAACACUGAGUAAGGGAUUUAAAGGUGCAUGUAUUAGCCACUUCAACGGAACAAAUGCUGGCCUUGUUAAGAAGGGAGUCAGGUAUUGCUACCUAAUAUAUCAGCCUACAUUCUGACCCUGGGACCUGUGAAACACCCAACACAUGAAUGGCUCCUUUCAUGUGAAGAAAAGUGCUCUUUUCAAAAGGGUCUUAAUCUCAGGCCAAAGAAAGGAGUAUUUUGCCUUCUACAGUCUGUUGACUAGGAGUCUUUUUAGAAUCCCGCAAAUUUCCCGUGUUUCUGGGUUAGUCAGGUGUGAGCAGGGGAUUCUUAGGCGGUAAGAAGACACUGUUCUGCAGAUCUCAGCCAUUUCUGUCUCCUCCCUCAUAAAUCAUUCUCAUGCUGUGAAAGAAAAAGUGGUCACAUGCAACCCAAUGCAUUUCAGCACUGCAUUUGAGCUCCAGGUGGGCGAUGUGGUGCAUGCGGCAUUGACUGUGACCUGGAUGUGGAGCCUGGAUCUGGGCCAACCUCAGACCUACCUAUCUUCAGAAGGGCAUUCACUAUCCCCGUCCUCUUUUCACUCAUGUGUUGGAAAGUGGGGAAAUAAGGGUGCCUGGGUGGCUCAAUUGGUUAAGCACCUGACUCUUGAUUUCGGCUCAGGUCAUGAUCUCAGGGUCAUGAGAUUGAGCCCCACAUUGGGCUCUGUGCUGAGUAUGGAGUCUGCUUAAGAUUCUCUCUCUCCCUCUCCCUCUGUCCCUCUCCCCACUCACGCUUUCAAAGAAAGAAAGAAAGAAAAAGAGAGAGGAAGGAAGGAAGGAAGGAAGGAAGGAAGGAGGAAGAAAAAGAAAAGUGGGGAAAUAAUAGAGGUUCAAGACAUGUCAUAAGAUAAUUCCUCUCCAGGGGCGCCUGGGUGGCUCAGUCGGUUAAGCGUCUGCCUUUGGCUCAGGUCGUGAUCCCAGGGUCUUGGGAAUGAGCCCUGUAUCGGGCUCCCUGCUCUGUGGGGAGUCUGCUUCUCCCUCUCCCACUCCCCCGAUCAUGCUUUCUCUUGCUCUCUCUCUCUCUCAAAUAAAUAAAAUCUUUAAAAAAAAAAGAUAAUUCCUCUCCAGUCAAGAAUUAUCUCCUUUCCUUUUAUGAGGUGGAAAAAAUUGAAGUCAUCCCUAUGAGAAAGAUAGUUUUUGAAAUGCUUUGGGGAGAGUGAGAGGCUGCUGACUCUGUCCUGCCCAAGCCACUGUUUCUUUUUUCUCUCUUCUCUUCUCCCUGUCACAUCCUCAGGCUUUUAACAGAAACAUUUUAGGUG